UGGGUUGUAGCUCAGUGGUAGAGCUCUUGCCCCUCAUGCAUGAGGCACUGGGUUCGAUCCUCAGCACCACAA
rfam:Ictidomys tridecemlineatus contig095682, whole genome shotgun sequence.